UCCCUAACGCACGCCGCACGUGCACGGCGGCGCACAGCCGUUCCCCACCGCCGCACAAAUACCCGUUCUUGGCAGUUGACACCGUCGCACCUGUUCAUGCAAGGAUUUGCGUUGGAUCUUUCUUGUAAUCCUGUCUCUAAGUCUAAUCCACUGCAAAACACGGUUGAUCUGGUUACUUAUUUUUGGCUUUAUUUGGAUUGUGAUUGGUGAACUGUGUGAAGGCUUUUGUAUUGAUAAGGGUUUUUUUUCUUCGCUUGAAUUGUUGCAGCCUCUUCAUCCAGCCAGUUUCUUGAGACUUUUCCUGAAGGAGUGAAAGAAACAUCACGACUGACUUAUCUCUUGAGUUAAUCAUCGGGACUUUCUUCAGUCAGCCAAUCCUACUGCUAAGGUAAGGAUAAUCAUGAAUAAACGUAAAAUGAAGACAAUGGAAUCUUUUUACAAGAAGAAAGACAAUGUGUGUGAUGCACCAAGAGAUCCAGGACAAAAUGAUUCUAUUGUUCUAUGCUCUGAGUUGGAUGAAGGUGCUAGCUGGCUUGCCGCACAACAAGAAGAGGAGGUGGAGGAGGAGCAAGAAGAGGAAACUCCAAGGCAACCACCACCUAAAGUCCAGAGAGCUAAUUCUGAAGUAAGAGAAAUGAUGACCUGCAUGCCAAUCAAGUUGCUGAAAUGGAGCAUCUAAUUGAGCUUAACGAGCUUGAAACUGAAAGUGGUGCUAAUCAAAUUAUAACCUUGUAGCGUCCUGGUGAUACUAGGUGGAGCUCGCACUACGAUUCGGUUUGUAGCCUUAUAAAGCUUUACAAGCCUACAUUUCUAGUGCUGAAAGAUACUGCUAUUGUUAGAGGUUCAGGAACUUCACCUUCUGGACGAGCAAAGGUUGCCGGUGAUGUUAAAUUAAUGAUGUCAUUUGACUUUGUGUUUAUUAUGCAUGUUAUGAAAGAACUCAUGGGUAUCACGGACCUGCUUUGCAAAAAGUUACAACAUAAAUCUCAAGACAUUGUGAAUGCUAUGGAGGAUGUUGCCACUACCAAAAAGAUGAUUCAAAAGUUAAGAGAUCAUGGUUGGAAUAACCUUAUUGUGAUGUGACAUCAUUUUGCGUUAAACAAGGAAUUGAAGUUCCAGAUAUGAAUGGGUUUUAUGCAGACUUUAUUCGAUCUCGUGCGGAGAAUGAGACAACAGUUGAGAAUCACUAUAGAUUUGACAUUUUUACAGUUGCAGUUGAUCAACAAGCACAUGAGCUGAAUUGUAGGUUUAGUGAACAAGCUACAAAGCUUCUCAUUUUGUGUGGCUCUUUGGAUCCUAAGGGUUCAUUCAGUUCAUUCAAAAUUGAUGAUGUGUACUUGCUAGCUUCAAAGUUCUAUCCUGCAUAUUUUUCAAAACAAGAAAGAAUUAAUUUGAGACAUCAAUUACAACAUUAUGAGCUUCAUGCACCUGCAAAUCCAAGGUUUCAGAAUUUGUCAACUGUUGCUAAUCUUUGUCGUCAGCUAGCGGAAACUAGAAAAUUGGAUGAAUAUUAUUUGAUUGACAGGUUGAUUCAGCUUGUUCUAACUCUACCGGUUUCAACUACAACAACAGAGCGUGCAUUUUCCUCAAUGAAACUUGUUAAGACAAGGCUUCAAAGUAAAAUGGGAGAUGGGUUUCUAAGAGAUAGCUUAAUAAUCUACAUUGAGAAAGAUAUUGCAAUAGAGUUCACAACAGAUACACUUAUUAAUGACUUCUAUGAUAUAAAGAGACGCUAAGUAUGUCUAAAAUGAAAAGGCUUAUGCAGGUCCAGUGAAAGAAAAGUAGACAAUUUCUUGAUUUGAAGGAUUUUUGGUCAGAGAGAUUGUAUAUGAAGAAUUGAAAGCUUCCAUAAAUACAUGACAAUCAUUGAGGAAAUUACAUCGACUGGCCGAGAAAACUUUUGUCACUGGGAUAACUAUAUAAAGUGCCAAAGCUUCUUCUUGAAAUGCUGAAGAGGUAGCAGUCAAGAAUGUAGCAAAACCAUACAAACCUGGUGCCCUCUUGGAGGCAUCAGAUUGCAAAUAGCAUCAUUAAUCAACUGCAGUGUUAGUAUUGUUUUCUUUUUGUUCAUUGUAGUGAUUUAACAUAAACUCAUCAAUGAAGGUUUGUCAUGUUCCUUGAAUUAAUGGGUAUUUGUGUUUGUUCUUUGUUAAA